rnacentral:lncRNA from 1 species
GCUGGUACCUAUCUUGGAGGUUGGCAGUAAGGAUUAAUUGAAGUAAAUUAUAUACAGAGGCUAUUACAGUGCCUGACAUUGCAGAAAAUACUAGUAAGUGAUGAAUCGAUGGAGCGAGAUGAGAGGAAGAAGAUGGAGAAGAGAAGAAGAAAGAGAGGACCACUUGUAAGCAGCCCCUGGAAGCAAAGCUUGCAGCUUUGAAACAGCCAUGUUAUCCACAGUGGUGAAGCAAUGUAGCUUCCUGGUCUCCAAAUCCAUGCAAAGCUAUAGAGCAAGCCCUUGGAGAGCCUUGAUGAUGAGCUGUCAGACAAUGCAGCAGGAAAUGAGUCCAUUCUUCCAG